CUGGCUUUUUAGACUAUUUCUUUUCUCAGGUUGCUCCUCCUCUUCCUCCUCACUUGGAUAACACCAGCUGUGGUAUAGGUGUAAGGUACAAGAAAAAAGGUACACAUCAUGUGUGGGGAAGAAGAGAAGAAAAGGUUAAAGAUGCAAAAUGGUGGUAGAAGUAGUGGUAGAAUUGUUAAGACAGAAGGGUACAUAGGAAGGCAGGUAGAAAAGUGCCAGUAUAGGCCCUCUGGACUCAGUAUUUACCUUUUUUUAAAAUUUUUUUUAUUUGUCCUUGUCUUCUUAUUUCUGUUUGUUCUUCUAUCAUUUUAUAACUUGAUUACUUUUGUUUUUUGUAUGACAUUUUGAAUGGUUUUCUCUGGGGAAGUGUCCUCACAAUACCUCAAGUGGAUUGUUUUUAAAAGCUGUAUUGUUUUCAGGCUAUGUCUGAAUAACUCCUCCUUGACAUAUUUACCUUGAUAAACAAGCUUUUUUAGACUCCUGCAGAAUAUUUCCCAUAAAAGCAGCAAAAGCCCAGGAUGUUCUCUGAAGGUUGCUUCGUUUAAUGUCAACUUCUCUUCAGUUAUCCAAGUUUGUUUAUGAAUUAAUAAAGGAGCACAUUUUUUUAUAUCCUUAUCUACUCCAAAUCAUGGCUAGGUAAUACCAAAAUUGGGACUUUGGGUAUUGUUUCCAGAUGAAGCAUGUGAUAUCUUUAAUACUAACAAGCCUAUUCAAGCACACUUCUCAUGAGAAAAGUAGUACUGAUAAAAUAGAGAAUAUUGCCUCAAAAUAAAUCCACUUUAAAGUAGUAGUAACCAAUAAUAAGCACAUUAAUAAUAUUCCAGUAUCCUUUCAGGAAAAGAAAAUGCAAGCAGUGCUUGUGAGUAUCCUAAAUAUUGAGUGAGGAUCACUGGUAAAGAGCUCCAUGAAGGAAGCAGGUGCUUUGUUUGGGUUACUCAUAGGUUAAAGAAAUCCAUGCCAUUUUUGUGUGUUGUUUUUUGCUAGUUUCCCCUAUCUGGAGGAGGGCACAGGGAGGUGCUCAGCUUGUUGGGUUCUCAAACCAAGCGCUAUCAGGUCUGGGAGGGUGGAAGUGGCAAAACAGAUUAGGAAACACUCCUGCCCUGAAGGUCUUGUGUCUCCUUGUGUUAGAAACAAGAGUGAGUCCUGUGGAAAUUGUGAUUAAUUUUGCCUCAUAUUGAGCACGUGAAGGAAAUCUAACAGGUUUCGUGCACAUAGAGAUUACUCUCAGCAGUAGAACAUCUUGUUUUAUUUAUGUUCUGAUCUUCCAGACAAGGUCUGUUAAUGGAGAAGGGCAUGUAGACCAAAACAUAACAGAAAAGGAUUAAAAGAAUGGGGUGAUGGUGUUUUCUGGACAUUCUUUUUGGUGGCAAUUUUGAAUUUGUUUAUUCAGACAAAUUUUGUGUGAUUACUGUAAUUCUGAAUCUGCUGUGUCUUGUAGGUAACAAAGCAACUCAGCCUUUACUGAGGGAGAGAUUCAGGAGUGACCAACUGGGGCAGAUCAUGGCAAGGGAAUUUCUGCCCAUGAUGUCAACAGAAAAAUUAUGAUUGAUUGAGCCUCUGUUAUUCUCUUGGUGUUCAAACCUGCUAUGAGGGAGCAAGAGGCAAUAAAGGAAGUUGAACACUGAGGAAGUGUUUCAAACUGUGUUGUUUUCCCUGCUAUAUCAAACAUUCAGUGGGCACACCCCCAACACUGUUCUCCAUGUCCAAAAAAAGAGAACUAAGAUGAAUUGUACCUGGCUCUAGAUGGCCUUUACUGUAACUGGCAAUGGGCUGUGAUACUGAGAAGACAACACUCAGAGCAAGAUGUUAAAGUGUCUUCCAAGACAGCAGUGGUGUUGGACACUUGCACUCUUAGGAAGAAAACUGAAUCGUUUUUGGAUGAGUAGCUCUCGUGAACCAAAAAAUUAAACCAAUGAUCCAGAACCAGCUUCAUAAGACAGGGAAAGCAGUAGAUCUGUGUGCUCCAAUCUGGUGCAAAAGAGAAAAGAGCUUCCUACCUCUCAAAAUUACGAUAAAGGCUGGAAGUGAGGCCGGGAAGAGGACCUGUGAUGAAAUCUUACCUUUUGUAAAUACUUUCACAUGAAUGGUGAGGUAGGAAUAUGGUAAGUCAGAGAAUCUUUAUUAAAGGGUUCUUGUUAUAUACACAGAAAGGCGACUGAAAAGUACAUUCACAUAUUUCAGUUUGUCUGUGUUGGAAUACUAAGUGGAGUAUAACAGCAACUAGGCAUUUAUCAGCUUGCACUUGGGGCUUCAGAGUAGUCCAAAUCUGUUCUUGAAAUAGUCAAAAUGUUUAUGUGAAACUAUGCAGAAAAUUACACUAAUAAAUUUAUAUGUAAACUUUAAAUAAAA